rnacentral:rRNA from 1 species
UUUCAACAACGGAUCUCUUGGUUCUGGCAUCGAUGAAGAACGCAGCGAAAUGCGAUAAGUAAUGUGAAUUGCAGAAUUCAGUGAAUCAUCGAAUCUUUGAACGCACAUUGCGCCCCUUGGUAUUCCGAGGGGCAUGCCUGUUCGAGCGUCAUUUCACCACUCAAGCCUGGCUUGGUAUUGGGCGU